CCUACGGGAGGCAGCAGUGGGGAAUUUUGGACAAUGGGCGCAAGCCUGAUCCAGCAAUGCCGCGUGAGUGAAGAAGGCCUUCGGGUUGUAAAGCUCUUUUGUCAGGGAAGAAACGGUGAGUCCUAAUAUGGCUUGCUAAUGACGGUACCUGAAGAAUAAGCACCGGCUAACUACGUGCCAGCAGCCGCGGUAAUACGUAGGGUGCAAGCGUUAAUCGGAAUUACUGGGCGUAAAGCGUGCGCAGGCGGUUUUGUAAGUCUGUCGUGAAAUCCCCGGGCUCAACCUGGGAAUGGCGAUGGAGACUGCAAGGCUAGAGUUUGGCAGAGGGGGGUAGAAUUCCACGUGUAGCAGUGAAAUGCGUAGAUAUGUGGAGGAACACCGAUGGCGAAGGCAGCCCCCUGGGUCAAACUGACGCUCAUGCACGAAAGCGUGGGGAGCAAACAGGAUUAGAUACCCUGGUAGUCCACGCCCUAAACGAUGUCUACUAGUUGUCGGGUCUUAAUUGACUUGGUAACGCAGCUAACGCGUGAAGUAGACCGCCUGGGGAGUCGGUCGCAGAUUAAAACUUCAAAUGAAUUGACGGCUUGGAGAGNGCGAGACGACGACGAGGGAGAGG
rnacentral:rRNA from 1 species